ACACAAUCUUAAAGUGUUUCCAUCUUAGAAAAAUCUUUUCAAGUAUUUCUUUUGUGUUUUUUAACCUAUAAAAAAGAGAUGAUGGAAUAUAUUUUAUAAACUGAAUUUUAUCUUACUCCUUUUCACUCUCCCAACUGCAAUUUAAUAGUUGUCAGAUUUCCCUGAGCAUUGGAUUUAAGUAUAUAGGACCCAGAUAUUCCUCAGUAAAUUAGUUUGCUAACUACUUUGUCACUUUUGUGAUUUCACAUUUGAGAAAUAGGUUAAUACAGAAAUCUACCU
rnacentral:lncRNA from 1 species